UACAGAGGUCUCAAGCGUUGUUCGGAUUCAUUGGGCGUAAAGGGUGUGUAGGUGGCGCGCUAAGUCGGGUGUGAAAUUUCGGAGCUUAACUCCGAAACUGCAUUCGAUACUGGCGUGCUUGAGGACUGGAGAGGAGACUGGAAUUUACGGUGUAGCAGUGAAAUGCGUAGAUAUCGUAAGGAAGACCAGUGGCGAAGGCGGAUCUCUGGACAGCUCCUGACGCUGAGGCGCGAAGGCUAGGGGAGCAAACAGG
rnacentral:rRNA from 1 species